rnacentral:rRNA from 1 species
ACGAACGCUGGCGGCGUGCCUCAUACAUGCAAGUAGAACGCACAGUUUAUACCGUAGCUUGCUACACCAUAGACUGUGAGUUGCGAACGGGUGAGUAACGCGUAGGUAACCUGCCUGGUAGCGGGGGAUAACUAUUGGAAACGAUAGCUAAUACCGCAUAAUAUUGAUUAUUGCAUGAUAAUUGAUUGAAAGAUGCUAUUACAUCACUACCAGAUGGACCUGCGUUGUAUUAGCUAGUAGGUGAGGUAACGGCUCACCUAGGCGACGAUACAUAGCCGACCUGAGAGGGUGCUCGGCCACACUGGGACUGAGACACGGCCCAGACUCCUACGGGAGGCAGCAGUAGGGAAUCUUCGGCAAUGGACGAAAGUCUGACCGAGCAACGCCGCGUGAGUGAAGAAGGUUUUCGGAUCGUAAAGCUCUGUUGUAAGAGAAGAACGGGUGUGAGAGUGGAAAGUUCACACUGUGACGGUAUCUUACCAGAAAGGGACGGCUAACUACGUG